AAUGGUGGCUUUAGCCCGGGUGUUCACCUCUUCCCAUUCCGAACAGAGUCGUUAAGCCCCGGAGCGCCUAUGGUACUGCCUUCAUCGGUGGGAGAGUCGGUCGCCGCCAACCUUAUCAAGC
rnacentral:rRNA from 1 species